rnacentral:rRNA from 1 species
UACGAAGGCCCCAAGCGUUAUCCGGAAUUACUGGGCGUAAAGCGUCUGUAGGUGGUUUUAAAGGUUUCGUGUGAAACUUCGGGGCUCAACCCCGAAUUGCGCGGAAAACCAUAAAACUUGAGUGUGGGAGAGGCAAGCAGAAUAAUAAGAGUAGGGGUGCAAUCCGUUGAUACUUAUUAGAAUACCAAAAGCGAAGGCAGCUUGCUGGAACAUUACUGACACUGAGAGACGAAAGCGUGGGGAGCAAAAGGG